rnacentral:rRNA from 1 species
GACGAACGCUGGCGGCGUGCUUAACACAUGCAAGUCGAACGGAAAGGCCCUGCUUUUGUGGGUUUCUCGAGUGCCGAACGGGGGUGUAUAACGUGAGUAUCCUGCCCUUGUCUUUGGGAUAACUUCAGGAAACUGGGGCUCUUACCGGAUAUGAGCUCCUGCUGCAUGGUGGGGGUUGGAAAGUUUCGGCCGUUUGGUCUGGACUCGCGGCUUAUCAGCUUGUUGGUGGGGUAGUGGCUUACAAAGGUUUUGACGGGUAGCCUGCGUGGGAGGGUGACCGGCGUCAUGGGGACUGAGAGACGGCCCAGACUCAUACGGGAGGCAGUAGUGGGAAAUAUUACACAGUGGGCGGAAGCGAGAUGCAGAAAUGCCGCGAGCGGGAGGACGUGCUUCUAGUUGAGAACAGAUGUCGACGGUAAAGAGGAGGGAGUGACGGUAAUGAGUAAAGAAGCACCGGCUAACUACGUG